GAUGAGUUUGGAGAAGAAUGUAAUAGGAUUCUUCAUCAGGAUUUCAAGCCAGUAAACAUGGGAGACAACUGGGGAGUUCAAGGCAAUCGAAUGGUGCCGGCGGUGCAAGACAACAAUCACAAGGUUGUUCGGUAUUCAGUAGAAGAAAGGAAAGACAGAAUUCUUAGAUAUUUGAAGAAGAGAAACCAAAGAAAUUUUAACAAGACAAUUAAGUAUGCAUGUCGAAAAGCACUGGCUGACAGAAGGGUUAGAGUCCGAG